rnacentral:pre_miRNA from 1 species
UUAUUACUCCCUCCGUCCGAAAAUACUUGUCAUCAAAAUGGAUAAAAAGAGAUGUAUCUAGAACUAAAAUACGUCUAGAUACAUCUCCUCUCAUCCAUUUUGAUGAUAAGUAUUUUCGGACGGAGGGAGUACAAA